rnacentral:rRNA from 1 species
CCAUUUUGUGAUGGCUACUUGGUUGCCCACUGAAGCUAAGCAGGGCUGAGCCUGGUCAGUACCUGGAUGGGAGACCUCCUGAGAAAACUAGGUUGCUGCUGGA